GGUUGCGAUCAUACCAGCACUAAAGCACCGGAUCCCAUUAGAACUCCGAAGUUAAGCAUGCUUGGGCGAGAGUAGUACUAGGAUGGGUGACCUCCUGGGAAGUCCUCGUGUUGCAUUCC
rnacentral:rRNA from 1 species